GCGGGUGUAGUUUAAUGGCAAAACCUCAGCCUUCCAAGCUGAUGUUGUGGGUUCGAUUCCCGCCGUCUCCACUA
rnacentral:tRNA from 1 species